rnacentral:rRNA from 1 species
GACAGAGGAGCCAAGCGUUGUCCGGAUUGACUGGGCGUAAAGCGCACGCAGGCGGAUGCGCGCGUGGGGUGUGAAAUCUGGCCGCUUAACGGCCAGGCGCCAUCCCAUACGGCGCGUCUGGAGUGAUGCAGAGGUCGAUGGAAUUGCCGGUGUAGUGGUGAAAUGCGUAGAGAUCGGCAGGAACACCCAGGGGGAAACCAGUCGACUGGGCAUCUACUGACGCUGAGGCGCGAGAGCGUGGGGAGCGAACCGG